GCCAUUGUAGCUUAAUUGGCAAGAGCAUGCCCCUCGUAAGGGCAAAGAUUUCGGUUCAAAUCCGAACGGUGGCU
rnacentral:tRNA from 1 species